rnacentral:lncRNA from 1 species
CUAUAAUUAGCGUCAUAAUCUGAGCUGGGGCCUUUUCAUCCAAGUUUAGACGGCCUUAUGGAGAUCAACCGAGUCUGGAUUGCACCCUGCCAGAGAGGAACCUGAGACACUUUGCAAGGAGCUGGGUGCGAAGCAACCUGGCCCGGGUCACAGGGAGGUGCCGGUACGGAGGCCGGCGUCCAGUGAGAUUGGAUUCACAGGUU